GGCGUGAUAGCCAAGAGGUUAGGCGGCGGUCUGCAAAAUCGCUCAGAUCGGUUCGAUUCCGAUUCACGCCUCCA
rnacentral:tRNA from 1 species